rnacentral:lncRNA from 1 species
UAACACCCUAGCUAAUUUAUCUAGAAUAUUAGCCAAGACAUAAAUAAAAGGAUCGGGAUACGUUAAAAUUAUUGAAUUAAAAUCGUUGUAUAUACCGAUAAAACAUAAAAGCCUUGUCAUUAUACAAGUAUUGACUAAACUGAAUGAUAACAUUCCUGUCAUAAUGUAACUUAAAAACUUACAUCAGAGCCAUAAAUAACCAGUCAAUACAUAUAUACUAUGACACUAAAUUAUACAACAGCUUAAUAGAAUAUCCAGAUAAACAAUGACAAUAACAUCCAAUGUCACUUCACUUCUUCUAGUCCAUAGCUCUCUACACUGCAACCUGUUUAUCUGUAUCAAAAGGGAGUGGGGUGACACAGUCACUUCGUCUCAAUGGAUUCCUCGCUACCCAUCUAGGUGCAACUAUCUCUUACGAACCAUUUUGGAAUCGAUCGGUAAUUCAUUACAUUCAUAAGAAAGGCUUAAACAUAAUAAUAAUAAUUCUCUUAAUAGAAACUAAAUAUGUAUCACGCAAUAGUUAUCUUGAUUCAUUUUACAGGAAGCUUCCGAGGUGAGUAUAUCUCGAAAGGUCCACUAAGGAUGUACUCCUCUUAGGAUGUUCUCCGCUCAGGAUGUUCUCCACUACCCGUUGUGACAUAGCUAUGUCACGUUGGUCUUACUCACAUUUCUUAACUUAUCGGAUUCCUAAACAACGGAUAAUCUUAGAUUGUUUACUGUGGCAAUUCGGGAUCAAUUACCACUCAAUCACUUAACCAAUUAUUAACCGGUUACUUUUAAUUAAAUUAACCCACAACCCGGGGAACCUAUGCAUCUCUAUGUUCUCAAGAGUAACGUUCACUUAUAACGCUACUAGGUUCUAACUAUGCGACUUACUAAUUACACUUAAUCUAUUGGCGACAUUACCUACAUUAUAGCAACUCUUGGAUACAAAAUGUUCUUGAGUAAAAAUAUAUGUAUCAGCACCAAGUCGCUACUACAAUAUAGAACAAUGAUUAAACAUAAUAAUAGCAAGUAUAACAUGCUAACUUCUUCACUACAUCAAGCUCAUAUCCAGUCAUCGAUAUUUUACAUACAUUAUGAUAUCGUGCUAAGAGUUAAGAAUUUAGUUACAAAUGUUUGUCAUACUUAACACGUUAUGUCAAUGUAAAACGAUAAUCAAACAUGUGUAUCAAAGUAUAGGGGAAAAUAGGCUAUUCCUAGUUCAAUUCCAGCCUAGUUUUGCCCCAAUUUCUCAAGACCCAUAAUCAUACUUCUAAGUGUCUAAUUUAUACCUACUUAUCCCAUUUGAAUUGGAAAUAAAUGGUACUCUUUUGAUUAAGAAAAUUACUUAUGUGAAGAACCCACCUGAAGUCCAAGAAAGAGAACUACUGCCUUGUACUCCAAAAUCAACCUUUAAGGCUCCAUUUGUAUUUCUAAUAACUCGUAAGAUGACUAUGAUGCUAACUUCAAUCCAAAAUUCUGCAUCUGACCCUGGACUUCAGAUGCGUCUCCUGAAUUCGUUACAGCUUCCCAGUUCACAAAAUUGGCAUCCAAACGACCGAAAUUUCGUUAGCUAACCAUAGAAACAAACGGAAUUUAAAACGGAGUUAAGAGGAGAGAGUACUGACCACUUUAGUGAGACCCUGUCCAGAAUACGGGUUUCACAUACUUCUUUCAAUUAUUCCAAAAUCUGUUUUUAGCUUAACAAUCCAACUGUUGCUGCAGCACAACCACCAACAAUCAACUUCAGAGAGUGCUUUAAGGGGUAAAGACAACACAUGAAAUGACCAAUUUCGAGUAAGAGAUGAAGAAUAGGUAUUUGGAUAAUUGGAUUAAAUGAAGAAAAACUCAUUGACAGCUUGGAAAGGGAAAAUGAGCUUUUUCCUUCUUACCUCAAGCUUCUGAACAAUAAACUCAACCCAAGUAAGAUCUCUAACAUGCAGCGGCUGUUCGUUGAGAAUUUAGGUAAAAGGAUUUUGAGCAUGAGGGAGAAAGAUUGGGUGAGGAGUGACAACAUCUAGCCACAAAUCUUACCUAUUAAUAACCCAAGGAUGAUAGAAAAUAGUUUGCAUGUGGUGAUUGAUUCAAGAUGGAGUGAAGUUGAUGGUUGUGGUGAGAAGAGAGAAAGAGGGCGUGAGAGUACAGAGAGAAAGAUGAGGAUUAUCAGAUUUUUGUUUUGUGCAAAAGAAU